AAAGAUAAAAAUUUUAAGUCUUUUAUAAAAUAAAACACAAAUAUAUGAAAAUGUGACAUUUACUAAAUAUUUGUCAAUUGAAAAAAAAAAACAAAAAUAAAUCCACGCUUUGAAAGCGCGGGUCAAAAUCUAGUAUUAAACUUAUAGUUCAACACCAUCCAUAGUUGGAUACAUGUGGAUGUGGUGGAGAUAUACAUUUUAUGAAAUACAAUAAUUUAUUUAUACACUCUCAUACGUGUGUUAGCGUGUGUGUACAAAUUAUUAUCGUUAUUUCUCUGAAAACUAUAUCAUAGAGAUAAAGUUAGACUGAUUAUGCGUGUGCAUCAUGUUAACAACAUUAGUUUAUGUAUCUUUUAUUGUUUUUAAAACAUCACGUAUACCGUUAUUGGUUAGAAUUUUUUACCUUCUAGGACACAUUUUGUCUUUGGAAUUACACAUUAAGACACUUCUUGCUGGAGGUACACAUUCUUCAUGUACAAUGUCAUAGAUACCCUCAACCUUAUCUACAACUAACUAGAUGAACUAACUGUACAUCCUAACUAAGGUUAAAAGUAUUUUGAUUUAUUUAUUGAAUAUUAUUUAAUGGUUUGAAUUUCGAAUUUCGAACAAAAUAUAUGUUCAUUAAACAUUAUCCUAUCGUCUUUUAUGAUUACCACAAUUGACAAACCUUACAGUAGCUAUUCCACUCCCCCUCGAUUAUCUCCUUCAUCUUCACCUUCUUCACCAAAUCUAACCCAGAAACCAAUUAUCAGUUAUGAUCGAAACCCCGGAAAUUUUUGGCAGUAAUGAUCGAAAGUGCUUAUAACUGUCAGAAUCAAGCUAUAGUCUCUGUUAACUUUCGAUUUGAAGCUCCUCAAACCACUCUCCGUCCAGUAAAAGCUGUUGAAGAUGUUCAUCGCAGACUCUGUUCUCUAUCAUAUCUAAAAGGAGCUCGAUUAUACGCAAGUGAAGGACCUAAAGACUACAAUCUACUUGCUUACACCUACUUCUCCUCAACUUGAUGUGAAGAAACCCCAAGAUAUUGUUCGUCCUGGGAGUUUGAGUUUGUUAGCUGAAGGUUAUGAUCGAUGUGUUCAAGUGUGUUCUGAAUAUGCUAAAACUUUUAAUCUUGGUUGGGAUCUUCUUCUUCUUUCAUUGCUGAGUUUUAUGUCCACGACAUAUAUGUCCACAUUUUAUAUAUCCAUAUUUUCUUUGUCCACAAACAAUUAAUCUACAAAAAAUAUUUUGUCAUGAUAAAUUUUUCAUAUCCAAAUUUCUAAAAUAUACUAAAAUGGAUAUUAAAAUGUUGACAACAAAAAGUUAUAAUUUAUUAUGUCUAAUUUAUUUAUUGAUAUACUUUAAUAUGUCAAAAUAAAUCACAUAAAGAAAUAGAGGGUAAUUUAUAAUAGUAAUUUCAAAAAAAUCAAAUAAAUCCAACCCUAUGAUCUAGUUUCAACAAAAUGGACAAUAUAUAUGUCCAACCCUAUGAUUUUUUGUAUCCACAAUAUAUAUGUCCACAUUUUAUUUGUUCACAAACAUUUAAUGGACAAUUUUUUUGUGGAUAUGAUUUUUUAUAUUCAAAAUUUUAAAAUAUAUUAAAACGGAUUUUAAAAUGUAGAAGAAAAAGUUAUAAUUUAUUAUAUUUAAUCUACUCAUUUAUAUACUUUAAUAUGUUAAAAUAAUCACAUAAAGAAAUAUAGGAAAAUUGAUAAUAGUAAUAUAUGAAAAUUAAAAAAUUAUAGUCCUACAAUCUAGUUUAAGUUGCACAUCUAAUAGCUUAAAAGACCAUUUUCUAUACUGAAUUGUUUUUUAUACAUUUAUUAUGUCUGUGGUCAUCUUUUUUCACUAUCCACAAUAUAUAUAUCCACGUUUUAUUUGUCCAUAAACACUUAAUCUACAAAAAAAAAAGAUUUGUCAUGAUAUGUUUUUAAUAUUCAAAUUUCUAACAUAUACUAAAAUGGAUCUUAAAAUGUUGACAACAAAAAGUUAUAAUUUAUUAUGUUCAAUUUAUUUAUAGAUAUACUUUAAUAUGUCAAAAUAAAUCACAUAAAGAAAUAGAGGGGAAUUGAUAAUAGUAAUU